AAGUCGUAACAAGGUUUCCGUAGGUGAACCUGCGGAAGGAUCAUUAACUCAAUAUAUGUAUAGUCACUUCGGUGGCUGUGCAUCAUAUUACCAAAACCAAAUCAACAAUCCGUGAAACUAUAACAAAACCAAAAUGAAUGGGUUCGCGUGUCAUUACUUUGUUUGAAUGCACGUACUCAGCCAAUACCAAUUCCACGUAAUUUUUAACCAUAUUAACCCAUUACUGUAACGAUCUUUUCACUUGUGUCAAGAGCGUACUAAAACAAAAGCGUGUCAUUACUUAAUUGAAUGCAUGCACCAAUUUUAUUCUAAAACAGAGAAAUACAACUCUUAACAAUGGAUAUCUUGGCUCUC
rnacentral:misc_RNA from 1 species